rnacentral:rRNA from 1 species
UACGGAGGGUGCAAGCGUUAUCCGGAUUCACUGGGUUUAAAAGGGUGCGUAGGUGGGUUUGUAAGUCAGCGGUGAAAUCUCCGAGCUUAACUCGGAAACUGCCAUUGAUACUAUAGAUCUUGAAUUUUCUGGAGGUAAGCGGAAUAUGUCAUGUAGCGGUGAAAUGCUUAGAUAUGACAUAGAACACCAAUUGCGAAGGCAG